rnacentral:tRNA from 1 species
GGAGAGGUGGCCGAGUGGUCGAAGGCGCUCCCCUGCUAAGGGAGUAGGCCCCAAAAGGGUCUCAUGGGUUCGAAUCCCAUCCUCUCCGCCA